GUAGGUGGCAAGCGUUGUCCGGAAUUAUUGGGCGUAAAGCGCGCGCAGGCGGUCCUUUAGGUCUGAUGUGAAAGCCCACGGCUCAACCGUGGAGGGUCAUUGGAAACUGGGGGACUUGAGUACAGAAGAGGAAAGCGGAAUUCCAAGUGUAGCGGUGAAAUGCGUAGAGAUUUGGAGGAACACCAGUGGCGAAGGCGGCUUUCUGGUCUGUAACUGACGCUGAGGCGCGAAAGCGUGGGGAGCAAACAGGGAUUAGAUACCCUGGUAGUCCACGCUGUAAACGAUGAGUGCUAAGUGUUAGGGGGGUUUCCGCCCCCUUAGUGCUGCAGCUAACGCAUUAAGCACUCCGCCUGGGGAGUACGGCCGCAAGGCUG
rnacentral:rRNA from 1 species